rnacentral:rRNA from 1 species
AUGUCAUCGCCGAGCGCAAGCGGCGGGAGAAGCUGCAGCGGCAGUUCGUGUCCUGGCCACCAUUGUCCCAAGCGUCAGGAAGUGCAUUCAAAUCAAUCUUCUCACCCAGUCGCAAAAAAAAUCAAUCUUCUCACUCCCGCAUGUGGACAAGAUCACUUUGCUUGGGAGCACCAUCGAGUACGUGAAGUAGCUGGAGGAAAAGGUGAAGGCCCUGGGAGAGCAAGGCCUGCUAAAGUCGCGAGAGUGCACCUUGUUCGAGAGCAAGUGCAGCAUAUCCGCCGCCGAUAA